rnacentral:lncRNA from 1 species
GAAAAUGAAAGGUAACUGCUCCCACAAAAGCGGGCGCAAAUAAAUUCUUGAUGCAGUUAAUAUUGAAGCGCCACCAACCGUCACCGACCAAAUCCUGCUCCCCAGCAUGUGCCCCGCGUGUCAUCCUACACUAACACUAGUAGGUAGAGAGGUGGGGCCCAUUUCAAAUCUAGCGGUUCAUCCUCGGUGCACCGGAUCCCACCACGUGGCCCCCCAGAAG